ensembl:snRNA U6 U6 spliceosomal RNA
ACACUCACUUCAGCAGCAUCUGUGCUAACACUGGAAGUAUGCAGAGAAGAGUAGCAUGGUUCCUGCACGAGGGUGAUGCGCAAAUUCAGGAAGCGCUCCGUACUUUU